GACGAACGCUGGCGGCGUGCCUAAUACAUGCAAGUUGAGCGCUGAAGGUUGGUACUUGUACCAACUGGAUGAGCAGCGAACGGGUGAGUAACGCGUGGGGAAUCUGCCUUUGAGCGGGGGACAACAUUUGGAAACGAAUGCUAAUACCGCAUAAAAACUUUAAACACAAGUUUUAAGUUUGAAAGAUGCAAUUGCAUCACUCAAAGAUGAUCCCGCGUUGUAUUACCUAGUUGGUGAGGUAAAGGCUCACCAAGGCGAUGAUACAUAGCCGACCUGAGAGGGUGAUCGGCCACAUUGGGACUGAGACACGGCCCAAACUCCUACGGGAGGCAGCAGUAGGGAAUCUUCGGCAAUGGACGAAAGUCUGACCGAGCAACGCCGCGUGAGUGAAGAAGGUUUUCGGAUCGUAAAACUCUGUUGGUAGAGAAGAACGUGGGUGAGAGUGGAAAGCUCAUCAAGUGACGGUAACUACCCAGAAAGGGACGGCGAACUACGU
rnacentral:rRNA from 1 species